GGGCGUUUAACUCAGUUGGUCAGAGUGCCUCCCUUACAAGGAGGAAGUCGGGAGUUCGGAAUCUCUCAACGCCCAC
rnacentral:tRNA from 1 species